UCCAUCAGUUUAAAUAACUGGUGAAGAAAGGGCCGGGCAAGACCGGUGCCAGCCGCCGCGGUAAUACCGGCGGCUCGAGUGGUGGCCACUAUUACUGGGCUUAAAGCGUCCGUAGCUGGUCUGUUAAGUCUCUGGGGAAAUCUACCGGCUUAACCGGUAGGCGUCUCAGGGAUACUGGCAGACUAGGGACCGGGAGAGGUGAGGGGUACUCCAGGGGUAGGAGUGAAAUCCUGUAAUCCUUGGGGGACCACCUGUGGCGAAGGCGCCUCACCAGAACGGCUCCGACAGUGAGGGACGAAAGCUGGGGGAGCAAACCGGAUUAGAUACCCGGGUAGUCCCAGCUGUAAACGAUGCGCGUUAGGUGUAUCGGUGACCACGAGUCACCGAGGUGCCGAAGGGAAACCGUGAAACGUGCCGCCUGGGAAGUACGGUCGCAAGGCUGAAACUUAAAGGAAUUGGCGGGGGAGCACCACAACGGGUGGAGCCUGCGGUUUAAUCGGACUCAACGCCGGGAAACUCACCGGAUAAGACAGCUGUAUGAUUGCCGGGCUGAAGACUCUGCAUGACUAGCUGAGAGGAGGUGCAUGGCCGUCGUCAGUUCGUACUGUGAAGCAUCCUGUUAAGUCAGGCAACGAGCGAGACCCACGCCAACAGUUGCCAGCUCGUCCCCCGGGAUGGAGGGGACACUGUUGGGACCGCCUCUGCUAAAGAGGAGGAAGGAAUGGGCAACGGUAGGUCAGCAUGCCCCCGAAUUAUCCGGGCUACACGCGGGCUACAAUGGGUGGGACAAUGGGUAUCGACACCGAGAGGUUGAAGCAAUCUCCUAAACCCAUCCUUAGUUCGGAUUGUGGCUACUCCCGCAUGAAGCUGGAAUCCGUAUAAACGGGAUAGCCGAUAUGCUGUCU
rnacentral:rRNA from 1 species